rfam:Stegodyphus mimosarum contig103788, whole genome shotgun sequence.
GCCUUCGUGGUGUAGUAGUCAGCCCGCUCGACGCGUAACCGAAAGGUCCGUGGUUCGAUUCCCGGCGAAAGCG